rnacentral:rRNA from 1 species
CAGUCGCCGCGGUAAUACGUAGGUGGCAAGCGUUGUCCGGAAUUAUUGGGCGUAAAGGGUGUGCAGACGGCUUAUUAAGUCACUUGUUAAAUUCUUCGGCCUAACUGAAGGUCUGCAAGUGAUACUGAUGAGCUAGAGGGUGGAAGAGAGAAGUGGAAUUCUCGGAGUAGCGGUAAAAUGCGUAGAUCUCGAGAGGAACACCAAUGGCGAAGGCAGCUUCUUGGUCCAUUCCUGACGUUCAUACACGAAAGCGUGGGGAGCAAACAGGAUUAGAUACCCCCGUAGUCCCUGUCUCUUAUAC